GCCUUCCCAAGAUCUAGUGUUUUCCCGAAGAAACUUCCGAACUUCCUGGGAAAGUGCAACCAGGAAGGCAUUUCCACCACCCGCUGGAGCAGAGAGGGGAGACGGAAAGCCCGGCGCGAGCUGCUUCCCCGGCCCCAGCCCCAGGCUCUACACCUCACAGGGGAAGCCACCACGGUGAGAGGCCCACGCACCGCCACCGCAACGAAGAGUAGCCCCCGCUUGCCGCAGCUAGAGAGAGCCCACAUGCAGCAACAAAGACGCAAUGCAGCCAAAAAUAGAUAAAUAAUAAAAUAAAUGAAUGCUGUCGGCGUUUCCAUUCUCAACAUGAAAAAAGACAAACUUUGGAGCGAGUGAGUAGCGGCCAGAGGACGCACAGCCCAUAAACCGAAGUGCUAAGACUGGAGCCCAGGGCUUCGGCAGGGCCUCCGUCGGGCACCCGGCACCGCGCCCGCCCUGCCUGCUGCCUGGUGGGCACGGUCCACGCGGAAGCCGUCGGGUCGAGCCCUCGGAAGGGGAGAGGCGGGGCUGGCUGGGCGGGCCGGGCGACUUUGCUCUGAGCCCGGGCUUUCUUCUCCUCUGCCCGCCGCCCACCCACUGAGCCCGGAACGCCGCUGCCGGAGCCCAGAGGUUUCCUUUUUCUUUCGCCCGGGGCUGCUUCCUGCCUUUCUUUUGAACUGGGGUGUUGGCUCCCUGACACGCUCGCCCUCCUCCAGCGACCCCCCCACCGGGCCUGCCCCGUGAUGGGCCAACUCCGCCCCCCAACCCGGCUCUGCUUCAUAGAAAGGCUGGCACCCAGUCCCUAGGGGACCCUCCUCCUGGAGCGGCUCCCCGCUCUCCCCGGGGGAGGUCCUGCGCCAGGACAGGAGGCUCAGAGCCCAUCUCCCCUGCGUCUCCGGCCCUGUUUCUCAACAAAACCUGUGCGCAUUGUGGUCUGGAAAUGUUCUGGCACGGGCUGAGGGUUAGAACUCAAACCCCGAGUUUGUGGGGUGGGGAGAAGCUCAGGCUCUUAGAAUCUAUUAGAAAAGGACACGGAGGCCUAGCCCGGAAAGGGCGGCCUCCGAGGUCCAGAAUGAGAAGAGGCCCAUGGAUCUCCCAGACGCAGCCCGCAAGGCCGCCAUCCUCCCUGGAGCCACACGUUUCUCUGCUUCUUCAGACGACAGGCCCUGCAGGGACCAGCCGCUGCGCUGGGGAGCAGGCUGGGGUAUCCCACCCGUUGCUGCCUCACCCCCCUCAAAGCUCUGCGUCCGCACCGGCCAGGAGAAAACUAAAACCUCUCCAGGCCCCAGAGGGCUCCUCUCGGCUCCCUGCAGCCACUCUCUCCUCUCUCAUCCCCCAACACACAGACGCGCCCAUCCCGCACUUCCUCCUCCAGGAAGACCUCCCUGACUAACACUUCUUGGCCCCAGUCACCCUAAUAACAACACCACUAACACUGGGCUCUUCCCAAGGGCCGGACACUGUGCCAAACCCUUUACAAACGUCGCCUCAGUGAAUUCAGACAACAGCCCUGUGAGGCAGGCAUGAGCUCCAUUUACAGAUGAGGAAACUGGCCCAGGUCACCAGCUUGUGAGGACUGCGGUCCUGCUCUGCCGUGACCGGCACCUGUGCUGGGACCCCCGCUCUCCCCAGCGCCCUGCCUCCGUCUCAUCACCCUCAGGCGGCGAUGAGUAGGAUGGAAACUACCCAGAAUCUACACACACGCUGCGUCUGACCUUUCAUCGAGGUCAGCGGUCGUCACAGCAGCCUUACAGGGAGUAAGGUCCCAAGGAGGCAGUAAGCUGCCUGACGGCGGUUGUGGAGCGGGGGGCCCCCUUCGUCCCGGCGGCAGAAGGUGAUGGAAAUGGGUGCUGAGGGGUCAGUGCAAGCGAACGAGCCUCAGGCCUUCUACAAGCAGCUCGGCCCCCCACUCGCUUCCUGUCUCUGCUCAACUCUGGGGGCAAAGGAGGGACUCAGAAUACUACCCAGAUUCUCCAAGUCAGGGACAGCCCCGGGUAUUGCCAACAACACGUGUAUAUCUCUGUCCCCUCGCUGUGCGGACGUGGGACGGGAUAGAGCGAGGGCCGCCCCACCUUCCGGGUGCCCCAGAGCCGGGGGUCCGUGUCUCCCAGGUGAGUCCCGGGGAGGACAUCCAAACCCUCAUGAGUCCCCACGAGCCUCACUGAGACCACGGGUUGGAGAGACGCCAAGGCCUGUGGGUGUUUGGCGUCGGUCCCUUCAACCCAAUCAACCGGGCGUCCGACCCUGAGGGAGCGUCGUCUUUGCAGCUUGGCACUGCCCACAAAUUAGUGUCUCCAACACGGCCUCUUGGGACGUGACUUCAGGAAGGCCCCUGGGGAGCCAGAGGCCUCAGUGGAGGGAGAUGGAGCCAGCAGGGACAUCUUGGAGGAGACGAGGGUGGCUUAGUCCCCUCUCCUGGCUUCUGGGACCCCCACCAAGGCCACCCAGCUCGAGUGACUGCUCUGCUCUCCUUGCCCCGGCUGGGGACAAUCUUUCCCCCCACGGGGCCCCUCCCCUCUCCUCCGCUGAGCCCUGGCCACCGUCCUGGCGCUGCUCUGCAGGAGAAGAAACCAAGAAACCGGCAAGAGGAGAGGGGGCGGCAGUCUGGGCCCCUCUGCUCAGGGCCCGGAGACCCACCUCUCACCUAGCCUGGGCUCGCGCCAUUAGGCCCCGAGACGGGCCAACUGGGAACCGGUCAGGGAAGCCCGGCCUCACCACUCGCCUGGCCUUCAGCCUGGGACUGUUCUCCCCGCCACGGCCCCACAGUCCAGGACAGGGCAGGAGAUGCCUGGGCCUCAGGGCUCCAGCUGCACAGGUGCCCCAGACUGAGGCUGGCCCGGCCAGCGCGCAGCCAGGCGGGCUCAGGGAGAAGCGCGUGGUACUCACAGGUAA